GCUGGUUUCCUGAGGGUCAGCCUUGCUUGUCCUGACCAGCUGAGGCCUUACCUUUGAGUCUGCUCAAAUCAACUCUUUUUCAGCUUUUAUUGGAGUCAUCACCUCCAAAGCUUGGACAGUGUCACUGGUGAAGCCUUUCUCUCACUCUACUACAGGUUGUGCUGAGCACUGUGUUCCAUUCCCCAGCUCUGUUCCCAAACUGACUGAUCUGAGCUUGCAGAUAUGAGUGACAGUCCAAGCUGUCUGUGGGAUUUGAUGGAAAUAAACCCUCUGAAGUACCAAAACCACAUCUGACUCGACAGAAAGUAGAAACUUUGUGGUAAUAGCUGUGAACAAUCUCUGGGAGCAGGGCUGUGUUGUCCAAGAGAAAACACAGAUGUGCUUUUCCUCCUCCACUUUCCUUGCCAGAGAACCAGCCAAGGGAGCAGCCUGGGCAGGGCUCCACCAGACUUUAGGGAGGGCUGUGCCUCCAAACAGGGUUGUUGGGGUUGUGCAUGAGCUCAGGAGAGCCUCGUGGUGCCAAGAGCCUGAGGAGUGUCAACAGAUCCUGUGUGCUUUGUAUCACAGAGCUGCCAGGAGUUUCAGAGCUGCAGAUAACUGCAAUUAGUGCACCUGGGAAAAUAUUUUGUUCCAUUAGUGGCUUUCCCUCAAUGAAAGUCAAAGAUGAAGUAAGAAGCUUCUCCCACCUCAGAAAAGGAAAAUAAGCUUCAGAAUUUGCCUGGUAACUGCAAAGCAGAAAGACCUCAUCUUCUGCAUUCUAUUUGCACUUCUCAAAACAUUUUAUAACGUGUUAAAUAAUAGGUGUGGUAAACGCACAGUGUCACAUUUUAUAGGUCGGUCAGCACUGAAAAUAGAAAUAUCCUGGAAACUCUGCAUUGGAUGCCUUCUUGUACAGGGUUUUACCUGUAAUUGUAGUCACAGAGACAUGAGGUUGUGUGCUGGACAAUUACCUGGCCUGGACAUUGACCAGAGACAAUAUCAACUUGGAAUUGCACAGCUCUUUGUUUAUUUUGUUUUAGCUUGUUGUUGUUUUGGGGUGGUUUUUUUAAAUAAUUUUAUCAAGUUAAGGGGUUUUCUUUCCCCACUCCUUAGAUAAACUCUAAAUUGUGAAAGGAUUACUGUUCCUUUAGAGCUGAAUGUCAGACAAGUGCCAAUAAUGUGGGUGAUAUGCUUUCCUGGGCUGGGGUUAAGGUGCAGCUGUGAGGACCAUAGAGAGGAAUUUCAGAAAGUUUUUGACACUGCAAAAAGGUUGUAAUAGACUGUGCAGGAGCAAGGUAAAAUUGGCAUUUGCAGUGCAGAGUGAAUGUCAAGUCAUAGAAAGGUGUUGACCUCCAACCAUCAAUUUUAGCUCUGU